rnacentral:misc_RNA from 1 species
GUAUAUGAUUGCGUUGGAGCAACAUCAAGACAUUCUGAAGACAUGCAUAAGAGUAUAUGGAAUGAUACAUGAGAAUCCCCUCCCCCCCCCCAGGGGGAGGGAGGGUUUCCCCACAAAGAGUUCACUGGUGUAAGUGGAUUAAGAGCUCGGGCGUGCACAUGCCCCCCGAGGGGCCAGCGACAACCUCCGCUUAUAAUUCGAUAAUGAUCCUUCCGCAGGUUCACCUACGGAAA